AUUGAACGCUGGCGGAAUGCUUUACACAUGCAAGUCGAACGGCAGCACGGACUUCGGUCUGGUGGCGAGUGGCGAACGGGUGAGUAAUGUAUCGGAACGUGCCCAGUCGUGGGGGAUAACGUAGUGAAAAUUACGCUAAUACCGCAUACGAUCUAUGGACGAAAGCGGGGGGUCGCAAGACCUCGCGCGAUUGGAGCGGCCGAUAUCAGAUUAGGUAGUUGGUGGGGUAAAGGCCCACCAAGCCAAUGAUCUGUAGCUGGUCUGAGAGGACGACCAGCCACACUGGAACUGAGACACGGUCCAGACUCCUACGGGAGGCAGCAGUGGGGAAUUUUGGACAAUGGGCGAAAGCCUGAUCCAGCCAUUCCGCGUGCAGGAUGAAGGCCCUCGGGUUGUAAACUGCUUUUGUACAGAACGAAAAGGUUUCUACUAAUACUAGGAGCUCAUGACGGUACUGUAAGAAUAAGCACCGGCUAACUACGUGCCAGCCGCCGCCGUAA
rnacentral:rRNA from 1 species